rnacentral:tRNA from 1 species
GUUUCUGUAGUUGAGGUUAAACAACAGCGGCUUUUCAGGCCGCGGGUCUUGGAGAGAAGCCAAGCAGGAACU